AAGCAAUAGAAUAUACCAAUAUCCUGCGUGUCAAAGCAUCAAUGCACAGCACAAUUGCUAUCUUGCUGAAUCAUCAUGUCCUAAUAUCACUUUGAACAGUACUUCAAACAACACCACACUGGGCGUGCAACCAACAAUACCCCCGCCAGAAACAUCAUCUCAUGUAGCAGAGAUUGUAGGCGGUCUAGCUGCCUUCCUCUUCAUACUUGCUGUUAUUCUAAUAUUAGCGGUCCAUCGUUG